GAAACCGGCGCACGGGUGCGUAACGCGUAUGCAACUUGCCCUUAUCAGGAGGAUAGCCCGGGGAAACUCGGAUUAAUACUCCAUAAGAUUUUGAUUGGCAUCGAUUAAAAUUGAAAGAUUUAUUGGAUAAGGAUAGGCAUGCGUCAGAUUAGUUAGUUGGUAGUGUAACGGACUACCAAGGCGAUGAUCUGUAGGGGGCCUGAGAGGGUGAACCCCCACACUGGUACUGAGACACGGACCAGACUCCUACGGGAGGCAGCAGUGAGGAAUAUUGGACAAUGGAGGGAACUCUGAUCCAGCCAUCCCGCGUGCAGGAAGACGGCCCUAUGGGUUGUAAACUGCUUUUGUAUGGGGAUAAAUCUACCUACGUGUAGGUAGUUGAAGGUACCAUACGAAUAAGCAUCGGCUAACUCCGUGCCAGCAGCCGCGGUAAUACGGAGGAUGCAAGCGUUAUCCGGAUUCAUUGGGUUUAAAGGGUCCGUAGGCGGGCUGAUAAGUCAGUGGUGAAAUUUUGUCGCUCAACGAUAAAACUGCCAUUGAUACUGUUAGUCUUGAGUGAUAUUGAAGUAGCUGGAAUGUGUAGUGUAGCGGUGAAAUGCAUAGAUAUUACACAGAACACCGAUUGCGAAGGCAGGUUACUAAGUAUUAACUGACGCUGAAGGACGAAAGCGUGGGGAGCGAACAGGAUUAGAUACCCUGGUAGUCCACGCAGUAAACGAUGCUUACUCGUUUUCGGGGAGUG
rnacentral:rRNA from 1 species